UACUCCCAAGCCUUUCCUGACGUCCACUGAGCGAGGGCUAUAUAUAUAUAUGUAUGUAGUUUGUUUGUUUGUACUAUUCUUAUAACAAAUGUAAAGCACUUUGGCCAACGAGAGUUGUUUUUUAAAUGUACUAUAUAAAUAAAUGUGACUUGACUUGACUAAUCUAACGCCAUUCUUAACACCAUUUUUUUGUUUCUGGCUUUUCCAGAUGAACGAAUUUGUAGGGGCCCGUAGAGCGAACAUGGUGACAAGAGGCUCUGCAAACUAGUGUGGACUGCGCGGGUAACAACUAAUGUAGCGUUCAUCUCACCCGUACGUGGACUUCCCGACAGAUGUACCCGAUCCAAUCUUCCUUCAAGCAGUUGCCUUUGGUUUUCUUGACCAAGUCAGUGACAGAACCUGCUCCACAGAACUCCAUUACCAGCUGGAAUUAAAGGUCAAAAGAAAAGCGUUAAGACGCAGACAGUACAAAAAACAGGCCUUUCAGCCAAACCCGACCAAGCAGACCAAGAUCACCCAUCAGAACUCUGCCAAAACGAUACACGAAGCGCUACAAUUUUUGGCCCACCUUACUCACCAUUGUCCUGAGAUGUAAAGGAGACACGUUUCGUUCUGAUUGAUAUUAUAUUUUACAAGCUAUUGACAUUUUGAAUUUCACAAAAGCCACUUUUCAACACUUUUCCACUUGCCCUGUCCAUCAUCACGUCACAAUUGACGUCACAACGGGAUCCCGAAUCUCAUUUACAUUUAAAAAAAUCACGAUUUAAAAAAAACCUCAGUUUUAA